ACAGCCACAUCACGUUGAAACACCGGUUCCCGUACGAUCACCGAAGUUAAGCAACGUCGAGCUGUUCAGUACCUAGAUGAAUAACCGCUUGGGAAUACCAGGUGCUAU